AUUGAACGCUGGCGGCAUGCCUUACACAUGCAAGUCGAACGGCAGCAUGAUCUAGCUUGCUAGAUUGAUGGCGAGUGGCGAACGGGUGAGUAAUACAUCGGAACGAGCCCUGUAGUGGGGGAUAACUAGUCGAAAGAUUAGCUAAUACCGCAUACGACCUGAGGGUGAAAGUGGGGGACCGCAAGGCCUCAUGCUAUAGGAGCGGCCGAUGUCUGAUUAGCUAGUUGGUGAGGUAAAGGCUCACCAAGGCGACGAUCAGUAGCUGGUCUGAGAGGACGAUCAGCCACACUGGGACUGAGACACGGCCCAGACUCCUACGGGAGGCAGCAGUGGGGAAUUUUGGACAAUGGGCGAAAGCCUGAUCCAGCAAUGCCGCGUGUGUGAAGAAGGCCUUCGGGUUGUAAAGCACUUUUGUCCGGAAAGAAAUGGCUCUGGUUAAUACCUGGGGUCGAUGACGGUACCGGAAGAAUAAGGACCGGCUAACUACGU
rnacentral:rRNA from 1 species